GGGGAAUAUUGGACAAUGGGCGAAAGCCUGAUCCAGCCAUGCCGCGGGUGUGAAGAAGGUCUUCGGAUUGUAAAGCACUUUAAGUUGGGAGGAAGGGCUGCAAGUUAAUACCUUGUAGUUUUGACGUUACCAGCAGAAUAAGCACCGGCUAACUUCGUGCCAGCAGCCGCGGUAAUACGAAGGGUGCGAGCGUUAAUCGGAAUUACUGGGCGUAAAGCGUGCGCAGGCGGUGAUGUAAGACAGAUGUGAAAUCCCCGGGCUCAACCUGGGAACUGCGUUUGUGAAUGUAUCACUCGAGUACGGCAGAGGGAGGUGGAAUUCCGCGUGUAGCAGUGAAAUGCGUAGAUAUGCGGAGGAACACCGAUGGCGAAGGCAGCCUCCUGGGCCAGUACUGACGCUCAUGCACGAAAGCGUGGGGAGCAAACA
rnacentral:rRNA from 1 species